rnacentral:rRNA from 1 species
AGCAGCCGCGGUAAUUCCAGCUCCAAUAGCGUAUAUUAAAGUUGUUGCAAGUUAAAAAGCUCGUAGUUGAAUUUCGGGAUUGACGUGAUGGUCAUGCCUUAAGGGGUAUGAACUGUUACAGUUGAUUUCUCACCUUCUGGAGAAACUUGAUGUCCUUUAUUGGGUGUCUUGCGGAUCCAGGACCUUUACCUUGAAAAAAUUAGAGUUUAAAGCAGGCAUUUUUGCUCGAAUACAUUAGCAUGGAAUAAUAGAAUAGGACGGCAUGGUUCUAUUUUGUUGGUUUCUAGGAUCACCGUAAUGAUUAAUAGGGAUAGUUGGGGGCAUUAGUAUUCAAUUGUCAGAGGUGAAAUUCUUGGAUUUAUUGAAGACUAACUACUGCGAAAGCAUUUGCCAAGGAUGUUUUCAUUAAUCAAGAACGAAAGUUAGGGGAAUCGAAGACGAUCAGAUACCGUCGUAGUCUUAACCAUAAACUAUAGCCGACUAGGAAUCAGACGAUGUAAUUUUUAAUGUACNCGUUUGG